rnacentral:rRNA from 1 species
AUGCGGGCCCUUUUUUGGAACAUCCGCGGCUUCGGCCAUGAUGGCCGACGCCGCCAAUUCGUCGAUUACGUGCGUGACGAACACAUUGACAUCAUCGCCAUUCAGGAAACCUUGCGCACGGAUUUUUCUCUUCCUGAGCUGGAGCGUCUUAGCCCCCACCUAUUCGCCUGGCAUUGGCUCCCUUCUAGUGGGACCACGGGGCACUCGGGAGGCAUCCUUUUAGGUGUGAAGGAUGCCACCUUUGAGGUUGGCGGGAUGGACCGGGGCGAGUUCUUCGUUAGCAUGGAGCUCUUCGAGAGGGCGCUCAACUUCAAAUGGGAGGUUGUCAUUGUCUAUGGGCCGGCGGACCACCGCCGCUCCCCGACCUUCCUUGAUGAGCUCCAACGGAAGGUCUCCGCCUUUACCUUCCCGGUGGUUGUUGGAGGGGACUUCAACCUCAUCCGCUCUCCCGAUGAUAAGAAUAAUGACCGAAUCAACCUCCCCAGGAUGCAGAUGUUCAACGAUUACAUCGCGGAUCUCGGCCUCCAUGAGCUUGAGCGGACGGGUGCCAGGUUUACCUGGACUAACCGCCAAGCCGACCCGACGCGGUCCGUCUUGGACCGCGUCCUAGUCUCCCCGGAAUGGGAACUUAGAUGCCCCUUGGCCUCGCUUCGUGCGAUUACCCGGAUUGGGUCGGAUCACGUCCCUCUCCUUCUCUCCACCGCCGAUGAACGUCCUCCCACCCCGCCUCGCUUCAGGUUCGAGCUCUUCUGGCUCAACCCAGCGGGCUUCAGGGAGGCGGUCGCGGCCAAGUGGACCUCUGCGCGCUCCUCUCCCCACCGAUCCAUGUCGGCGGUGGACUCCUGGCAGUUCUGUGCCAAGCUCGGCCGCCAAUUCAUGAAAGGGUGGGGAGCUAACCUUGGCAGGGACCUCCGCGAACGGAAAAAAAUUCCUCCUUGA